UUGCUUUCAUUGAGUAAAACAUUGUGUUCUCUGAAUCGAUUCAGCUCCGAUUUCAAGUGUUCAUCGUGUUCUUCGCAAGUUUGACCACAAACCAGCACAUCAUCCAGCCACACCGGUAUUUACGAGAAUGCUUUGAUAAGACAAAAAAUGCCAGAUCAUUCCAAGUGAUACUAACUUGAGCAUCAUCAUCACUAUUGAGAUUAAGCAUCUUGAACUGUAUCUCAUCAGCAUCCGACACGUCGACCGCCUUCGAGCCGAGGACGACCCAUGAAUUCUGGAGUCCGAACAUGCUGCACUACACUAAACGCGAGAAGACUACCCCAGCUGGUACGUGUAUGAAGCUAACUGCUGCUCAGAUAAGCGUAAGAUCUACCUUUGCACGUUCGUUACAACCUGGUAAGAUACAAUGGGAAAGUUCUAGAGUGCCUCCCCGAUCAAACCACACUGUAUGUAGCACCGCACCUGAGGGUAGAAGCACUGAGCGCGGGAGUCAAAGCGCGCGACUUAACACCACUAAACAACCAACCGAAUGGGAGAAAAAAGCUCAAGUCUAGAACGUUCAACAAAACGGACAGGUGAACACGAUUUGCGAUGAGAAUGAAAGCUCUGCCGGCCGAUUGAUAUGACUGUUUGCUUUCCACGAGCUUGCAAAAUGUACUGACGUGAUUAUCUAAAGUGUUCAUAUAUUUAUUACAAAACAGAUAGAUACGACUCUUUAGCAACCACUAAAAGUCUACGGGUUAUCAAUAAGUGAGAUUGUCGAUGUUUCUACAGGAAAACAAACGAAAUGCCUAGGCUCUAUGCUAAUU